rnacentral:rRNA from 1 species
CAGUCGCCACGGUAAUACGUAGGUGGCAAGCGUUGUCCGGAAUUAUUGGGCGUAAAGCGCGCGCAGGCGGAUAGGUCAGUCUGUCUUAAAAGUUCGGGGCUCAACCCCGUGAUGGGAAAGAAACUACAUGUCUUGAGUACAGGAGAGGAAAGCGGAAUUCCCAGUGUAGCGGUGAAACGCGUAGAUAUUGGGAGGAACACCAGUGGCGAAGGCGGCUUUCUGGACUGCAACUGACGCUGAGGCUCGAAAGCCAGGGGAGCGAACGGGAUUAGAUACCCCAGUAGUCCCUGUCUCUUAUACA